UUCUGAAUUCUUUCCCAGAGGCAGUGACAAAAAUCAAACAUCCGAUGUGUUCUUUACCUUUCAGUAAGCUCAGCCUCCCUGCUUGUGUCACAUCUCUAAACAUACGUACAUGCGUGAUUGAAACUGUCUAUUGAAAGCAAUAUUACAUUAACAUUAUCAAUACUGAAUUAGAGAAAAUAUCUAUCAAUGUCACCAAUUCCACCUGUCUCUUGAUGUAUGACUUUUUACCUGACAGGCUAAAUAACAAUAGAAAGUUCUUUUUAAAAAAUAGAAGAGUUGCUAUGCAGGGACUUUUUUGGAAUUAAGUGCCCCAGAGAACCUAGAAAUGUGCUUUAAAACUUUUUGUUUCACCUGGCAGAUCCAAAAAAAAUUUGGAAGCUUUUGGUUGAAUUCCCUCAUUACUUGAAGUUGUUUUAUGAAAAUUGAAUAUAUAUAUCUGUUAGGUUACCAAGACUUAUGGUUAGCUAUCUUAAUGGCUAGUGAUAUAAGACCUUGUAACAAACCCUACCAAUGGAACUGACAGGAUUUUACCAGGGAGGAUAUUGCAGUACCUGUAAGAGGAAGGGAUACAAAUUGGCACUUCAUACAUUUGUGAGAACAAUUGCCUUUAAUGUGUCUAUUUGGUUUUCAUAAUAUUGCAGGCCUCUGCUCUUGUAAGAAGUUAGCUGCAGAACCCACAUGUGAAUCCUUGUAGGACUCUGGAGAAGAUCAAAUGGGAGCUUAGAUGUGGAAGCUCUUUGGAAACCAAGAAACACUCUGAAAAUGAAAAGGGUGGAAGAGUAAACUGUUCCUGUUUCUCCAUCUUGACAGGAAGCAGAAGUUCUCCUUAGCUGAUUUUUCUUCUUGCCUUAUACUGGGUUCUUUAACACCAGAACAAAAAUAAAUAAAUAAAAGAAUCUUCCAGAAAUUCAUGAAGAGACUUCAGGUCAGGAAAGCCUGAACUUUCUCAUCCAACACCCGUUCAAGUCGGAGGAUGCUGAUUAAUUCAUGAUGGAAAGGUAUCAAUUUCACAGCCCAGACCUCUACAUUCUUGAAAUGCUCUUCUCAUGGGAGACAUUAAAUAAGCUUUGAAUUAACUAAAAAUAUCCAACCCGAGCAGGAUAAAACUGAUCAUCCUGAGGAUAUUGCCCUUGGAGUUAAUUUUUUGAGAGAAAUAAAACAAUAAACAUCAUAAGACACAAACCCCAAGCAACUGAUCUCACUGUUAAAAUCCAACCUGAGAACAAUGGAAUGGAUAAUGGUCAUUUCAACUGUCUUUGAGUCUGGAGGUUGCUUUUAACAAACUGAAUUGUAUUGCUGCUGGGCUAGUUAACAUUCAUAUUAGACUUUCAAAACAGUGUGGAGAAAACAGUCAGCUCUUUGAUGGCAUUUAUGAUGGACACACAGCUGGGCUAAUGAAGACAAUAUGUCAAGGCUUGAAGAGCAAUGAUUUUACAGAUUUUUGAGACAUCUAUUUGGGUUUAUAGAGCUGAUUUCCUCUUUGGAGGCUGCAUUCUGAAUUAAUGAUAACCACCUUUAUAGAGAAAACAUUGAAUAUGAAGUGUCCAAGGAAUUUAGGCUAAAGAAGUAAUUCUAGGACUAGUCAGACAAAGAGAAAUACUGUCUGAAAUGACUGAAU
rnacentral:lncRNA from 1 species